UGCAGAAUAUUGUCUCCGACAUGAUAAAUUAAAAAGAUUAAAAUGUUUCUAAACAUGAUCAAUCUCACUCUGUGAUAUUUCCUGAAAACUUGCAACUAUUGAAAAUCAUUUUAAAACCCUGUGCUACUUAAGUCACUGUGGAAUGUGAGAUGGUAGAGUAUGAGUACCUUAUUCUUGAUAUCAUUGUUGCUUGGAGAAUUUAUUUCAAAAUCUUUCGAAAUUCUAGCUACCAACCUCAGUCUUUUAUAUGCCUACUAAAACUGAAAAUAUUAAUAAUUAUAAAAGCUAUUUAUUCUGUAUUGAGUUUGUUCAAAAUGAGUUAGACCCUUGUUGAGAGAUUUAUCAUACUCCUAAGAUCAAGACAUCUAUUCAGAAAGUUUCACUCUUCCGAAGUAUUAUUGCGUUAGAGGCAUGGGCUAUGCAAAAAUAAGGAUAUUUCGAGGAAAUAAAAAGGAGCAAGUGCUCGACAACCUCGCAGAAAAAAUGGACAAGUGUCCGACAGUAGAAUUAGGGGUACCUCGGUAUCCACUUCAAAAAAAAAGAGAGAAAAGAAAAGAAGAAAAUGAUAUCCCACGGUCCCUCUAAUAAGCAAUAUGCCAGCAAGAGUUGACAAGUUUUUAAUUUCCAAAGUGUUUGAUCUAAGAGUAUGACAUUCCUCUCCUCGGAUCCCAUUUUGAUCAGGCAAUAAAUGCAAGGUAAGUAUGCUUGAGAAUUUUUGCACAUUAAAACAGCCUCAGUGAGAUAUAUAAAAGAUAAUGAGUGACCUAAGAGAACCUAUGAGGAUAAAGGUAUGCUAAAUUUCUUUUCAAAAAUAUACAAAAACUCUAAGUAACAGGAUUGAGAAGAAAGGACCUCUACUCUUGACCAUAUAUUUCCCUCACUACAGUACAUAGUGAAUUUGUACAACACCC
rnacentral:lncRNA from 1 species